UACGGAGGAGGCAAGCGUUAUCCGGAAUUAUUGGGCGUAAAGCGUCCGUAUGUGGUGAUUCAAGUCAGCGGUUAAAGCGUGGGGCUUAACCUCAUACAGGACGUUGAAACUGGAUUGCUAGAGUGCGGUAGGGGUCGAGGGAAUUCCCAGUGUAGCGGUGAAAUGCGUAGAUAUUGGGAAGAACACCGGUGGGGAAAGCGCUCGGCUGGGCCUGCACUGACACUGAGGGACGAAAGCUCGGGGAGCGAAAGGG
rnacentral:rRNA from 1 species